rnacentral:rRNA from 1 species
AUUGAACGCUGGCGGCAGGCCUAACACAUGCAAGUCGAACGGUAGCACAGAGAGCUUGCUCUCGGGUGACGAGUGGCGGACGGGUGAGUAAUGUCUGGGAAACUGCCCGAUGGAGGGGGAUAACUACUGGAAACGGUAGCUAAUACCGCAUAACGUCGCAAGACCAAAGUGGGGGACCUUCGGGCCUCACACCAUCGGAUGUGCCCAGAUGGGAUUAGCUAGUAGGUGGGGUAAUGGCUCACCUAGGCGACGAUCCCUAGCUGGUCUGAGAGGAUAACCAGCCACACUGGAACUGAGGCACGGUCCAGACUCCUACGGGAGGCAGCAGUGGGGAAUAUUGCACAAUGGGCGCAAGCCUGAUGCAGCCAUGCCGCGUGUAUGAAGAAGGCCUUCGGGUUGUAAAGUACUUUCAGCGGGGAGGAAGGCGGUGGAGUUAAUAGCUUCACCGAUUGACGUUACCCGCAGAAGAAGCACCGGCUAGCUCCGUGCCAGCCGCCGCCGUAA